CCUACGGGUGGCAGCAGUGGGGAAUCUUGCACAAUGGGCGAAAGCCUGAUGCAGCAACGCCGCGUGAGCGAUGAAGGCCUUCGGGUCGUAAAGCUCUGUCCUCAAUGAAGAUCAUGACGGAGCUUGAGGAGGAAGCCCCGGAUAACUACGUUCCAGCAGCCGCGGUAAUACGUAGGGGGCUAGCGUUAUCCGGAUUUAUUGGGCAUAAAGGGUGCGUAGGUGGUUUCUUAAGUCAGCGGUGAAAGGCUACGGCUCAACCGUAGUAAGCCUUUGAAACUGGGGAACUUGAGUGCAGGAGAGGACAGUGGAAUUCCUAGUGUAGCGGUGAAAUGCGUAGAUAUUAGGAGGAACACCAGUGGCGAAGGCGGCUCUCUGGACUGUAACUGACACUGAGGCACGAAAGCGUGGGGAGCAAACAGGAUUAGAUACCCUGGUAGUC
rnacentral:rRNA from 1 species